rnacentral:rRNA from 1 species
AACGAACGCUGGCGGCAUGCCUAACACAUGCAAGUCGAGCGCCCGUAGCAAUACGGGAGCGGCGCACGGGUGAGUAACGCGUGGGAACCUGCCCAGAGGUCUGGGACAACCGCGGGAAACUGCGGCUGAUACCGGAUGAUUCCUGAGGGACAAAGAUUUAUCGCCUUUGGAGGGGCCCGCGUCGGAUUAGGUAGUUGGUGGGGUAACGGCUCACCAAGCCUAUGAUCCGUAACUGGUCUGAGAGGAUGACCAGUCACACUGGGACUGAGACACGGCCCAGACUCCUACGGGAGGCAGCAGUGGGGAGUAUUGGACAAUGGGGGCAACCCUGAUCCAGCAAUGCCGCGUGGGUGAUGAAGGCCUUCGGUUGUAAGCCUUUCGGCGGGACGGAUGAUGACGGUACCCGCC